rnacentral:tRNA from 1 species
GGUAGCGUGGCCGAGUGGUCUAAGGCGCUGGUCUAAGGCACCAGUCUCUUCGGGGGAGUGGGUUCGAAUCCCACCGCUGCCA